UACAGAGGUCCCAAGCGUUACUGAGAAUCACUGGGUUUAAAGGGUGCGUAGGUGGUCCGUUAAGUCAGUUGUGAAAUCCCCGGGCUCAACCCGGGAAAUGCUUCUGAUACUGGCGGACUUGAGGCCAGUAGGGGUCACUAGAACUGACGGUGGAGCGGUGAAAUGCGUAGAGAUCGGGAGGAACACCAGCGGCGAAGGCGGCCCCCUGGGCCGCUCCUGACGCUGAGACGCGAAGGCCAGGGUAGGCGAACGGG
rnacentral:rRNA from 1 species